UACGGGGGGAGCAAACGUUGUUCGGAAUUACUGGGCGUAAAGAGCUCGUAGGCGGGACCGUAAGUCCGAGAGGAAAUCUCAAGGCUCAACUUUGGGGCUUUCUUGGAUACUGCGGUUCUUGAGGAUAUCAGAGGAAAGUAGAAUUCCCGGUGUAGCGGUGAAAUGCGUAGAUAUCGGGAGGAAUACCAGUGGCGAAGGCGACUUUCUGGGAUAU
rnacentral:rRNA from 1 species